rnacentral:rRNA from 1 species
UACAGAGGGUGCGAGCGUUAAUCGGAAUUACUGGGCGUAAAGCGCGCGUAGGCGGCUUUGCAAGUCGGGUGUGAAAUCCCCAGGCUUAACCUGGGAACUGCAUUCGAGACUGCAUUGCUAGAGUAUGGGAGAGGGAAGUGGAAUUUCCGGUGUAGCGGUGAAAUGCGUAGAUAUCUGGAGGAACACCGGCGGCGAAGGCGGCAUCCUGGACCGGUAUUGACGCUGAUGCGCGAAAGCCAGGGGAGCAAACGGG